UAAAAGUCAAAAGUUACAUAAUUGUCCAUGGUCAUGCAUUUAAUAAAUCUCUGUGACUGGAUUUGAACACAAGUCUUUCUGAACCCCAGUCAAUCACCCUAUCUACUUUUUCAUCUAGCUGACUAAUUGAAGCUCCAUUGUAAGCAGGAAAUAUUUUUUUUUUGUCUUUGUAUCUCCAGGUCCAAGCACAUUAUCUGGCACAUAAGAGAUGCUUGUUGAUUUCUCUUGUCAAUCACUGAUGAUAUCGAGUCAUUUUAUAAAUUUUAUGAAUGAACAAAUGGAGUUCAGAAGUUGAUAUGACUUUGCUAAGAUGAGAGGAGGAAAACACCAAAUCCAGGACCAUUUCCAUGUGUCCACAGAUACUUUUAAGUGGCUUCCUAUAUUACUUCUUUCUCAUGUUGGAUCUGCCUCCCACUUGUUUAAAACCUCAAGCAAAACAGUUAAGGGCAUUAAUUUCAGAUAACAUGAAAGUACCACUUACCUCUACUGAACAAAUUUACUUAAAUUGAGUUUCACAGAUAAGGAUCACUGAAAAUAACCCAUUUUAAACUGCACUGAAGUUAACAUCAAAUGAUUUCUUUGAAGAGAAAGUGUUGUAGGAUCACAACUUUCUGAGCAUUAAAACUAAAGACCAAAACUCUCCAUGGAAAAAAAAGAGAAUUUCUCAAGAUUUAUGUCUAUUAUAUUCGAGAGAAUCUUUGAUUCAAGGUAGAUUUUUUUAACAUAAGUGUAAU
rnacentral:lncRNA from 1 species